rnacentral:rRNA from 1 species
UACAGAGGGGGGCAAGCGUUUAUUCGGAAUUAUUGGGCGUAAAGGGCUCGUAGGCGGCGUGUCGCGUCGGGGAGUGAAAGCCCGUUGCUUAACGGCGGGUUGGCUUUCGGUACGGGCAUGCUGGAGUGCGGCAGGGGAGACUGGAAUUCCUGGUGUAGCGGUGGAAUGCGCAGAUAUCAGGAGGAACACCGGUGGCGAAGGCGGGUCUCUGGGCCGUUACUGACGCUGAGGAGCGAAAGCGUGGGGAGCGAACAGG